CUUGCCAUCAAAGUGACUUUUACUUGGUUGGGAAUUGAAAUGAGGAUUUCUCUGGACAAUCAAAGUUAUAUUUCACAAUGAAGACUGCAUAGAGAACUUCAAUGAAUCUGUUAUGAUCACCAUUUCCUAUCGGACUGUCAUGACGAACUUGGAGAGAUACCAUCCAGGAUGCAGGUGUUCGGGUCAAACAAGAGAAAAGGAAGUUCAAAGGCAUUCCCUCCCACAACUCCUAAAGCUGUAAUGCCAGCACACUGUGUCAUGGGAAGUCUCUGAAACGCCCAUGCGAGGGUGUAGUCACCCACUGAAACACUCAGAUGUAUUUCACAGCAGCUGCAAGUGAAAAAUGAAGGGAUUGUAUUAAUUAGUCACUGAAAGAAAAUAAUUUGUUCAAGUAUAUUGGCCAUGCUCAAUCAUACAAAAAUCCUAUACUUUGCAUUCUAUUAAGCAGACAUUAGGUUCAUCAUCCUAUCUAGCUUUUUCUUGUGACUUGUAGUAGAAGGUGUUCAUUAUGCUCAUGCUGUCUUUUUAGACCUGCAAAACUCUUGAAAUUGCCUAUGUCCAUGGUGUUCUCAAGAAAGCUAAACUUCUUUAAGCUCUCUCAGGGUAAAGAGUACUGAAAUUAAUUCUUCCUCUUCUCCCUAGAGACCCAGGACUUGUGUGAAUGUAAUGAAACUUGCUAAGAUUUCUGUAUACAUCAUUAAGCAGCUCUGUGAAACAAUUAUGUUAUCCCUCAACAGUAUACAGCUAUCAGUCCUAACCAAACAAGUAGGCAGCUUCUCUACUCACAUCAGGGGGUGAUCUAUAUUGAGAAGGUUUGCUUUUAUGAGUACCAUUUGGACUGCAGUGUAAUUGAGAUGUAAUGCAUUAUUGAGAUGUCAUCUUAAAUACAAGCCAUUAUGUCAUGUAAUAACAAUUGUUGCUUGGGCCAUAGGCGCUGCUGCUAACAGUGUUACCAUGUGAGUAGUAAUUACAUACAGUGUGGAAACAGAAAACAUUAAAAGUGGCAAUAAAACAAAGUACAUCCAAUAAGUA